rnacentral:rRNA from 1 species
AUUGAACGCUGGCGGCAUGCCUUACACAUGCAAGUCGAACGGUAACGGGCCUUCGGGUGCCGACGAGUGGCGAACGGGUGAGUAAUACAUCGGAACGUGCCCGAUCGUGGGGGAUAACGAGGCGAAAGCUUUGCUAAUACCGCAUACGAUCUACGGAUGAAAGCAGGGGACCGCAAGGCCUUGCGCGGACGGAGCGGCCGAUGGCAGAUUAGGUAGUUGGUGGGAUAAAAGCUUACCAAGCCGACGAUCUGUAGCUGGUCUGAGAGGAUGAUCAGCCACACUGGGACUGAGACACGGCCCAGACUCCUACGGGAGGCAGCAGUGGGGAAUUUUGGACAAUGGGCGCAAGCCUGAUCCAGCCAUGCCGCGUGCAGGAUGAAGGCCUACGGGUUGUAAACUGCUUUUGUACGGAACGAAAAGCCUUCUUUUAAUACAGGAGGGUCAUGACGGUACCGUAAGAAUAAGCACCGGCUAACUACGUG